rnacentral:rRNA from 1 species
GACGAACGCUGGCGGCGUGCUUAACACAUGCAAGUCGAACGGAAAGGCCUGCUUUCCCUUGUGGAUUGCGGGUACUCGAGUGGCGAACGGGUGAGUAACACGUGAGUGAUCUGCCCCCAACUUGGGUAUAAGCCUGGGAAACUGGGUCUAAUUCUCGAUAGGACUGCAGGGUUGUGUCUGUGGUGGCAAACGUUCUUCUAGUGGUUGGGGAUGAGCUCGCGGCCUAUCAGCUUGUUGGUGGGGUAAUGGCCUACCAAGGCGGCGACGGGUAGCCGGCCUGAGAGGGUGGACGGCCACAUUGAGACUGGGAUACGGCCCAGACUCCUACGGGAAGCAGCAGUGGGGAAUAUUGGACAAUGGGCGGAAGCCUGAUGCAGCGACGCCGCGUGGGGGAUGACGGCCUUCGGGUAGUAAACUCCUUUCGACCGCGAGGAAGCCACCUGGUUGGAAGGGUGGUGACGGUAGUGGUAGAAGAAGCACCGGCUAACUACGUG